GACGAACGCUGGCGGCGUGCUUAACACAUGCAAGUCGAACGGAAAGGCCCUGCUUUUGUGGGGUGCUCGAGUGGCGAACGGGUGAGUAACACGUGAGUAACCUGCCCUUGACUUUGGGAUAACUUCAGGAAACUGGGGCUAAUACCGGAUAGGAGCUCCUGCUGCAUGGUGGGGGUUGGAAAGUUUCGGCUGUUGGGGAUGGACUCGCGGCUUAUCAGCUUGUUGGUGGGGUAGUGGCUUACCCAGGCUUUGACGGGUAGCCGGCCUGAGAGGGUGACCGGGCACAUUGGGACUGAGAUACGGCCCAGACUCCUACGGGAGGCAGCAGUGGGGAAUAGUGCACAAUGGGCGGAAGCCUGAUGCAGCAACGCCGCGUGCGGGAUGACGGCCUUCGGGUUGUAAACCGCUUUCGCCGGUGACGAAGCGUGAGUGACGGUAAUGGGUAAAGAAGCACCGGCUAACUACGUG
rnacentral:rRNA from 1 species